AGAAGCGGGGAGCCGAGCGCGGAGCCCAGCGUGCAGGACAGCGGGGACAAGGGGAAUUUGAGGAGGUUCGCCUGGUCGGCUUUCAGCACUGCGGCGGCGUGGGAGAGGAAACAUGGAGGUCGAGUUUAAAUAGCAGCUUCUCGAAGUCUACUGGGUAAAAGGCCAAGCUCAUCUGUUCUCCAUCUCACCCAGCUGACUGUGAAACGGCCGGGCGGACAGAAGAGCCUGUACCCCGAACUUGAGCAGCUCUCCGGCCGGCGCCGACGUUUUGUGCUCCGGGUGAUCCGUCAGAAUCUCCUCUAUCAUGAAACUCCUGUAGCGAUAUUUUUUUUUCUCCUUCUGUGGAGGAAUCUCACAGCCGAUGGCGAUCACUUGGCCUGUGUCCGGAACCUGCGCAUGGCCUGCUGGGGG